GCCCCCGUAGCUCAGCGGCUAGAGCGACUGCCUUCUAAGCAGUAUGUCGCAGGUUCGAAUCCUGCCGGGGGUG
rnacentral:tRNA from 1 species